CCACAGAAUAUAGCUCGACAGAAGAGCCAUCUACCCAGAAAACAUCCACUUUCCUAAACAUAACUUCACCAAAACUGAAAAGGCAACCAAACAAAACAGAGCUGCCUGUUACAGAUGCCCCAGGAAAUUUUUCCACACAGGAAAUAUCUACUCAAAAACUAUCUACUUUCCUACCUGUAACUUCACAAAAACCUACAAAGAG
rnacentral:lncRNA from 1 species